rnacentral:misc_RNA from 1 species
GCGUUGAGACUGCAGCGACUCUGGAUGAUAGCGGCGCGUUGCCACGUGGUAAAAAUUCAAGACACUACUGCCCCUCGUUCUACCGUCGCAAUUAAGGGGCAAUGACGGAGGGAAUUGCAUAUUCUCUCGUCGCGGUUUUCCCAUUCUACUCAUUAGUAACUCUUUGCUGGCGUUGGAACUGAAGGGAAGAAAGCCGAAAUGGGAUUACGUUGUUCCAUUUCCGAGCACAGUCGGCUUGUUCGCGUUCUACGAAAACGAGGGAAAGGGGGCCGAGCUCUAUUUCGCGGAUUGAUAAACAACCAGCGAUUUUUUAUUGGACGUUCUUGCGGGAUAUUAAUAGCACUUGCGAAAGAAGAUUAAAAGAGGAGAACCGGAGGGGAAAUUUAUCGCCCACUAGCUUAUAUCCUCUUUGAAACGGCGGGACAAUGGAUUUUUCUAUUGUUACAUGUUGAACACGAUUUAACUGGCGACAAAUUUCACAUUGCCUGUUCUAAAGAGCUCUGGAUUUUAGAAAUUAAUCGCCAGAAAGUAUCUCUUAGAUACUAACGCGGAAAAAUGGAACGGCGCGCCUUUUCUUUCUUGCAAUCUCAGCUGCUACGUAAAUUCUUCAAAAAUCUUUG